rnacentral:lncRNA from 1 species
AGAGCAUUGCCUCCACCCCCCAUUCUCUGCCGUUUCAAGUUCCAAGCUUCUGCCCAUUCGACUCCGAUUCGCAGAGGAGGAGAAGGCGUCAUUGGCGCACCCACGAAGGUAAGUUCUCGUCCCUUUUUAUUUUGUUGUUUCGCUUAUAGAGAAGAAACGGAAAUAAAAAAAACAGAGAAAAAAAUAAAACGAAAAAUAAAGGAAAGAACACCUUCGAAAAUUCUUAGUCUCUUGCUUUUUUGAUUCCUUUUUUGUAUUGAUUGUGCGUCUGUCCUUUUACAAAUGCUAAAAAAUGGCCUUAUAUGGCCGAAUCGAAAGGAAAAGAAAAGAAAAAAUCAAUCAAAAAAUACAUGUCUCUUUUUUCUCUGCCCCUUCCCUUCAUUUUCUUUUUUUGUUACCCUUUUGUUCUCUGAUUUGCUGUCGAUUUGUGUGUUUGCGUUUGUAGGUACGGCCGUACGGAGCAGUGGGCGCGCGCGUACGGAGGCUUGUGACGUGGCUCGACACGCAUGCGAGGGCAGAGGCUGAUGCAGCGCUGUUGGCUGCUGAAGGCUGGCCUAGGGUUUGUCUCAACCAGGCUAGGUAUUGGGCCAUUAGGUUCUGGGCUAGUUUAGGUUAAAACGGGUUGGGCCACAUUGGGUUUUGGGUUCUGUAAUCGGGCUAGGGACUUGGGUUGGUAUUUGGGUAUUAGUUUUAGAUGUAAAUGGACAUUAAUUAUUUUUCUAUUUUAUUUUAUUAUUUGUUUUUUUAUAUGGGCCGGGCACAAAUUGGGUACUACAUAACAGUAAUAGAAUCUAUACAAAUCUGUAAAGAUAGAAGACAAAGGGCAUACCUUAAAUAUUGGUUCGACAAUUCCAUGGAAAACUUUACUAGAACGACCCCGACCUGACCUAAAGACGAGCUCAGGAGGAGCAUCUAUUGGAAAAAAUUCAGAAAAAGCUUGCUUCUUUGAAGAAACUAAAGGGUGAGGAAAACAAUUGAUAAUCUUCUUAUACUUAAUGACCAUAAACUCUACUGACCAUCACAUCAUUUUCGGAUGCCUUAUGAAGAGAUGUCUGGUGAAACAACUAAGAAAGGUUCUACAUGCCUACCUAGGAUGUAAAAACCAUAAACACCUGAAACUAGACCAAGACCAUUAAUCACCAUCCUACAUAUUCCCUUGAACCGUAUAUCAAUGUAACAAACAAGAUAUAUGCAACAACUACAUGACACAUCCAAAUUUGCAGUUAAAAUAGUUUGACAGAAUGUUCCAAAAGGCGACUUAUAUGAGAAUUUCACGCUAUUUUAACAUUUUCCCCAUUAAGAUGGAAAUAAUUGGAUACAGGACAUCAACAUUACGUAUUUUGCAACAAAACAUCAGGACAAGUAACCCUUAGUGCUUCUAUUAUUUUAGAUUUACUGUUCAACCUAAAAUCUUUCACUUUUACCAGUGCAAUUCUAUUUCAAACAAGUUGUGAAACUAUGAAUUACUUCAACACAGAGGAAAUAAAUUGACAGAACUUAAUUUGCUUAAGUAAUUUCCCAAGUGAAUAUCAAGACCGAAUUGACAAAUGCCACACAACUUAGAAAUUAAUGGAGUAACAACACUCAUUUACUAACACAAAACAUUAACCAUGUCACCAUUAGAAAUGAGGAAGAAUUUUCCAAUGUUGCCCAACCAUGGAAACACUUGCUACAAUUGAUUAAAAUACCUCUUUCCCAAGUUGUACCAUGUUAUCAGCAAGUCACCGAAU